AUUUGGCGGGCCAGAUGCCCCAGGGCGCGGCGGCGUUGUCUGCCUGCCGCUGCCGCCCCUGCGGGGCCGGGGCGCUUCUUCUUGGGCGGCUCUGCCAGUGCAGUGAGCGAGUAAAGGUAUGUGUGGCGGGCGCGGCUGGGCCGGCUGCCGCUGCGCAGGCAGGUCCUAAUGCCUGUCACUUCCCAGGACAUUGGCAGCGGCAGCCGGGAGCCCCAGACCCUGGGGCAGGUUCGCCUGUCCUUCCCUGCGAUCUGAUUGGAUAAAGUGGGGCCUCGACGGUGGCCGACGUGGGACAGUCUGGCUGUGGCAGGGGUCUCGGAAACCAUGGGUUAUUGCAGUGGCAGGUGCACGCUUAUCUUUAUCUGUGGCAUGCAACUGGUUUGUGUGCUGGAAAGGCAAAUAUUUGAUUUCCUUGGAUAUCAGUGGGCACCUAUCCUGGCAAAUUUUAUACAUAUAAUCAUCAUCAUCCUUGGUUUGUUUGGAACUAUUCAAUAUAGACCUCGUUAUGUAACAGGAUAUGCUGUCUGGCUAGUCCUCUGGGUGACCUGGAAUGUGUUUGUUAUCUGCUUCUACUUGGAGGCUGGAGAUCUCUCAAAGGAAACAGACCUCAUCCUGACAUUUAAUAUUUCAAUGCACCGAUCUUGGUGGAUGGAGAAUGGACCAGGAUGUAUGGUGACAUCUGUGACACCUGCCCCAGAUUGGGCUCCAGAAGACCAUCGAUACAUCACUGUCUCGGGGUGCUUUCUGGAGUACCAGUACAUAGAAGUGGCUCAUAGUUCCCUCCAGAUUGUCCUCGCACUGGCGGGCUUCAUCUACGCCUGUUACGUUGUGAGAUGUAUAGCUGAAGAAGAGGACAGCUUUGACUUCAUAGGUGGUUUUGAUUCUUAUGGAUAUCAAGGGCCUCAGAAGACAUCUCACUUACAACUGCAACCAAUGUACAUGCAAAUUCCCUUGGAUAACAACUGAUAGCAAAUUCUAUAUCUCAGCAUCAAGUGAUAUGCUGAAUUGCAAGAGAAGAUCAAAAUAGAAAGUCAAAAUAACACAGAUGGCUUCUGUCUGUCAGCCCAUGGACUCCUCAAAUGAUUUGUGCAGUGGCCUCUUGCCUUUUAUGAAGCUCAAGACGCAAAUGGAUUUAAAUACACAUAUAUGUUAUCAGACCAAACAGGAAGUUUCUACAUAGAUACAUGAGUGAACACACACACAAACACACACCACUGCCAUUAUCAUGCACACAUCAAGUACACUGGACCUCCUCUUUCUGACUGAAAGUGAUAAAUAUGCAGGAUACCCCCAUCCUGGAUUUCCUUAAUGCAGGCUCCCUUUUCCCAGACCUUUGAAGAUGAGAAAGGAGCUGUAUGGGUAUCUUCUACAGAUCUCUACUCACACAUCUGCAGCCCAGACUGUUGGCUCUGAGAAGUGCCAAGCUAACCCAGCCACCCUGCUUUCUACACUCCAUAUCAUACAUCUCAAUUGCACCACAGCUACUUUAAUUGCAAAAACCAGUCAGACAGAACAUGCCGUGAUGACCUUGUACCAAAUGCAAAAUGGCAUGUCAUCUGCCCUAAAGGUUAUACCGUACAUACUUGCCUUAAACCACCUGCAUUGUGUGCCCGAGACUCUCAGUGCAGACGUCUCCCAGUAACAUACUUUAGGGGAACACACUGCUAUUAAUUCCAGACAACUUUGACUCUGUCUCACAUCAAGUAAUAAGACUGAGCCACUCAGCAGCUCCUGUUGAACUGUAAGAAAUUGAUGCUUUACUACUGAGCCUCUUCAGUGGCCACAGAGAGACAAAGAGGCAACAACAACAGUAGCUCUCAUCUUCAUGUCUCUUAAACAUGGUCUUCUGAUGGUGGAACAAAGUAAAAUGCAUUUAUCUACUAAACUCAUUAAUUUACUAAAGGCAGAAAUGGCUUAACUGGUUGGUUUUCUUUCUUGCACUUUAAUUGCUUUUCUACGUCUCUACAAAUGGAUUUUCCUAACACAGGAAACAGUUGUAGAUUUCUAUGACAGAGGCCAACUAACUAUGUAUUAGCUAUGUUUACUCUUUUAUAUCUAAUUCAAAUCCAAGACCCAAUGUAGGUGAACUUUCUUUUCUAACUUCAGCUUACAAGAUUAUUUUGGGGGUGGGUGGGAUGCAAUAGUUAACUUAGUGAAAUUUUUGAGAUCUCUUUGUGGUAUUUGGGGGAUCUGUUGUGUGUUAGACUGUAUUCCAACUCUCCUGUAUUAGUGUGGCAGAAAAAAAAAACCUGUGCUGUUGACGUAGUUGGCAAUGAGAUACCUUUGGAGACAAUAGUAGGUAAUGUGUUUAUGGAAUAUUCUGAACUCUCUAGGCAAUUUAGUUCUAUAUUUUCAAGCACUCUUUGGUUUUCAUUAGUGGAAGACAUAAUUAGCUCAAGCUUAUCGGUAACACAGAUAAGUCAUGUUUUUCUUGGAUCUACUUGAGACACUAACAUUGGCAUGGAACAACUCCUUUUCUUUUGGUACUUACAGUUUCAUUUACUGGGUUAACCCUUUUUGCAUUCAGACCUCCAUUAAGACAGGCCAGUUACUGUCUUGCCUAAGAUGUUUGCAACAUAUGUCCAUUUAAACCCAUUCAAAAUCAAUGAAGGCACUAAAAAUGGCCAUUGGAACAAAAACUAAAUGCAUAAAAAGAUUAUAACACUUACACUUGAGUUUUCCCAGUGGCUUGUAUAUGUUGGUCCAUACCUAUAUGUGUGAAAUGGACAGUUGUAAACAUGUCAGUGAAACCUCAUAUGGUGUUUUUAUAGUGAUAUGCAUGUUUAAAGUUUGAGGAAUUAGUUGCCAAUGUACUGUUCUUUUAUUCCUAAAAUAUAAAUACUAUACAUGCUAGAAGCUAUUCUAAUGUGACUAUUGACAUGAGGUUUCACUGCAUUGCUGCUGGGAUGGGAUUCCACCUCGUAGUACAUGUGUAGGAGGGAGUAAAAUAAGUCGUCAUGUUUCUUUUUAAGUUGCAGCCGACUCUCCACCAAGUCAGUAUAUCAUCACCACCAAAUUUUUCAGAAACAGUUGUUGACUACUCAAGAGUAGUCAGUGAGCAGGCCUUUUUAGGAACAGUAAGCACAGUAAUGGGAUUCUAGCUGGGAAACAUCAAAGCUGUACAGCUAUAUCCUCCUCAAAACCUGGUGAAGAAUGCUAUUUUUCUAGGCUGAGCUUUUGUUAUAAACCUAAUAUUCUGAAAGCAAGAGUUAACUAUCGUGAUCUGUCUUUUUUUUCUCCUCUUGCAUUUGUUAAUUCUGAAUGUAUUUUUAACAGAGUGAUUUUUUUGACUUUACUAGUGUAAUUUGCAUUUUAAAAAUAAAUGGAAAAACAAUUAAGUUUCUGAGCCAUCCCUCAAA